AUUGAACGCUGGCGGCAUGCCUUACACAUGCAAGUCGAACGGUAACAGGUUAAGCUGACGAGUGGCGAACGGGUGAGUAAUGUAUCGGAACGUGCCCAGUCGUGGGGGAUAACUGCUCGAAAGAGCAGCUAAUACCGCAUACGACCUGAGGGUGAAAGCGGGGGAUCGCAAGACCUCGCGCGAUUGGAGCGGCCGAUAACAGAUUAGGUAGUUGGUAAGGUAAAGGUGCACCAAGCCGACGAUCUGUAGCUGGUCUGAGAGGACGACCAGCCACACUGGGACUGUGACACGGCCCAGACGCCUACAGGAUGCAGCAGUGGGGAAUUUUGGAGAGUGGGCGCAAGCCUGAUCCAGCCAUGCCGGGUGCGGGAAGAAGGCGUUCGGGUUGUAAACCGCUUUUGUCAGAGAAGAAAGGGUUCUGGCUAAUCCCUGGGACUCAUGACGGUACCUGAAGAAUAAGCACCGGCUAACUACGUGCCAGCCGCCGCAGUAAGAC
rnacentral:rRNA from 1 species